GUGUCAGCCGCCGCGGUAAUACGGGGGGGGCAAGCGUUGUUCGGAAUUACUGGGCGUAAAGGGCUCGUAGGCGGCUCGCUAAGUCGGACGUGAAAUCCCUCGGCUCAACCGGGGAACUGCGUCCGAGACUGGCAGGCUUGAAUCCGGGAGAGGGACGUGGAAUUCCAGGUGUAGCGGUGAAAUGCGUAGAUAUCUGGAGGAACACCGGUGGCGAAGGCGGCGUCCUGGACCGGUAUUGACGCUGAGGAGCGAAAGCCAGGGGAGCAAACGGGAUUAGAUACCCGAGUAGUCC
rnacentral:rRNA from 1 species